AUUGAACGCUGGCGGCAUGCCUUACACACGCAAGUCGAACGGUAACAGGUCUUCGGAUGCUGACGAGUGGCGAACGGGUGAGUAAUACAUCGGAACGUGCCUAGUAGUGGGGGAUAACGAGACGUAAGAUUUGCAAAUACACCAUGAGAGCUCCGGAUAAAAGCAGGGGAUCGAAAGACCUUGUGCUACUAGAGUGGCUGAUGGCAGGUUAGGUAGGUGGUGGGAUAAAGGCUGACCAAGCAGACGAUCAGUAGCGGGUCUGAGGAGCGGAUCAGCCACACUGGACAUGGAACAAGGCCCGGACUUCUACGGGGGGCAGCAGUGGGGAAUUUUGGACAAUGGGCGAAAGCCUGAUCAAGCAAUGCCUGGGGUGUGAAGAAGGCCUUCGGGUUGUAAAGCACUUUUUUCCGGAAAGAAAUGGCUCUGGUAAUACCUGGGGUCGAUGACGGUACCGGAAGAAUAAGGACCGGCUAAUUACGUGCCAGCCGCCGCGGUAA
rnacentral:rRNA from 1 species